rnacentral:rRNA from 1 species
CCUACGGGAGGCAGCAGUGGGGAAUAUUGGACAAUGGGCGAAAGCCUGAUCCAGCAAUGCCGCGUGAGUGAUGAAGGCCUUCGGGUCGUAAAGCUCUUUUACCAGGGAUGAUAAUGACAGUACCUGGAGAAUAAGCUCCGGCUAACUCCGUGCCAGCAGCCGCGGUAAUACGGAGGGAGCUAGCGUUGUUCGGAAUUACUGGGCGUAAAGAGUACGUAGGCGGUUAUUCAAGUCAGAGGUGAAAGCCCGGGGCUCAACCCCGGAACUGCCUUUGAAACUAGAUAACUAGAGUCUUGGAGAGGUUAGUGGAAUUCCGAGUGUAGAGGUGAAAUUCGUAGAUAUUCGGAAGAACACCAGUGGCGAAGGCGACUAACUGGACAAGUACUGACGCUGAGGUACGAAAGCGUGGGAGCAAACAGGAUUAGAUACCCUGGUAGUCACGCCGUAAACGAUGAUAACUAGUUGUUCGGUCACUUGGUGACUGAGUGACGCAGCUAACGCAUUAAGUUAAUCCGCCUGGGGAGUACGGUCGCAAGAUUAAAAACUCAAAAUGAAAUUGAACGG